CCCGCACAAGCGGUGGAGCAUGUGGUUUAAUUCGAUGCAACGCGAAGAACCUUACCUGGGCUUGACAUCCCGAGAAUCCCCUGGAAACAGGGGAGUGCCUUUCGGGGAACUCGGAGACAGGUGCUGCAUGGCUGUCGUCAGCUCGUGUCGUGAGAUGUUGGGUUAAGUCCCGCAACGAGCGCAACCCUUGUCUUUAAUUGCCAGCAUUCAGUUGGGCACUUUAAAGAGACUGCCGGUGUUAAGCCGGAGGAAGGUGGGAAUGACGUCAAGUCCGCAUGCUCCUUACGUCUAGGGCUACACACGUCCUACAAUGGGGUCGACAGUGGGAUGCAAAGCCGCGAGGUGGAGCCAAUCCCCAAACGGCCUCUCAGUUCGGAUAGUAGUCUGCAACUCGACUACUUGAAGUCGGAAUCGCUAGUAAUGGCGGAUCAGCAUGCCGCCGUGAAUACGUUCCCGGGUCUU
rnacentral:rRNA from 1 species